rnacentral:rRNA from 1 species
UACGUAGGGGGCUAGCGUUGUCCGGAAUCAUUGGGCGUAAGGCGCGUGUAGGCGGUCCGGUAAGUCCGCUGUGAAAGUCGGGGGCUCAACCCUCGAAAGCCGGUGGAAACUGUCGGGCUAGAGUGCGGAAGAGGCGAGUGGAAUUCCUGGUGUAGCGGUGAAAUGCGCAGAUAUCAGGAGGAACACCAAUUGCGAAGGCAGCUCGCUGGGACGUUACUGACGCUGAGACGCGAAAGCGUGGGGAGCGAACAGG